CUUUUUCUUCCGGUUGAGUCUAGUUUGUCUUCACUCUUUGAACACUUGGAGACAGGAAUUAAUUCCCCUGGUCACUGUGUCACUCAUUUGUCAGCUCACUCGGCUGCUCACCACAUCCAUGUGUUCCCAUCUUUAUUUAGCUCAGCCUUUUUUUUUUCAAGCAAGAAGGGAGAUUUCUUAGGAGAACAUAGACAGCCCAAGGACAAGCAGAGAAUAGAGUAGCUGGUCCUCCCCAAAGAUGGGAGCCAGCAACUGUUUAAGACAUGAGAAGCCAAGCCUGCUGUAUCUUUUGGCCAUUCUGGCGUCACACAUUCACUCACCUCUGCUCCUCUUUGUACAUCACUAGACCCUUCCAUCUUUUAAAUCUCUUGGCUUCUCUCCGUUUCCACUGCCAUGACCCUAGUGUAAAGUACUUUUCUUUUUUUUUUGCCUGGGAAACUGAGGCAGCCUCCUGAAUUUUCUCCCGAAUCCCACCCUUGCCCAUUUCCAAUCUGUGUCUCUCACUACAGCCAGAGGGAUUUUUAGAAAUGAACAGUUUAUUCAACAGAUUUCACUGAUCCUAGGAAAGACGUCAAACUCAUAAGCACGGCAUGGCAGAGGGGCUGCUGAACAGUGAAAACAGAUGUGAGCACACGCGUUAAGAACCAGUGAGUAAUUUACCACUUUUCUUUUCCUUUUUCCACCACAAUGGCAAUAUUCCAGAUAGAGACAGACUGCUCUGUCAACCUGAGUGCAGAGGGGAGAGGAGACGAAGGAGAGCCACAUGUGCAUGUAGUCUGAGACAUAAAGAAACUUUAUUGUAGGCCA